rnacentral:rRNA from 1 species
CCUACGGGAGGCUGCAGUGGGGAAUAUUGCACAAUGGGGGAAACCCUGAUGCAGCGACGCCGCGUGAGUGAAGAAGUAUUUCGGUAUGUAAAGCUCUAUCAGCAGGGAAGAAAAUGACGGUACCUGAUUAAGAAGCCCCGGCUAACUACGUGCCAGCCGCCGCGGGAAUACGUAGGGGGCAAGCGUUAUCCGGAUUUACGGGGUGUAAAGGGAGCGUAGACGGCAGCACAAGUCUGGAGUGAAAUGCCGGGGCUUAACCCCGGAACUGCUUUGGAAACUGUGCAGCUAGAGUGCAGGAGAGGUAAGUGGAAUUCCUAGUGUAGCGGUGAAAUGCGUAGAUAUUAGGAGGAACACCAGUGGCGAAGGCGGCUUACUGGACUGUAACUGACGUUGAGGCUCGAAAGCGUGGGGAGCAAACAGGAUUAGAUACCCUAGUAGUC